CAGGAAUGCUGUAAAGUACUUUAUCUGUGUUCUUAUCUGUCCUUCACAGCAGCCUUGCUAAGUGGUAUUGUAAUUUUCAAAGAAUAGUCUUCUAAAUUGGAAAGUUCCUUCAUCAGCCAAGUUUAAGUUUCCACAUGGAGUCAUAGGGGCAAAAGAGAUGCUCAGAUCUGGCAAUGUCACCCUAAGACUACACCAAGCC
rnacentral:lncRNA from 1 species